CUCAUGCUGCGGCUAGACGUCAUUGAGGAGUCUUAAUCCAUCAUGAGAGGAGCUUCUUCAUCAUGAACCUCUAUCUACUAUAUGAUUCUAGUGUCCUCUUAUGUGACUGGGAUGGACUGCACGUUCUGCACCCUCCACCCUUUCUCCAGCUGACUGGCCCCUUGACACUCAUCCUUUUCGUAGGCGCGCUGUAUGCUAAUUAAUAGCAUUGGAACACCGGGGAGGAGACAUCUUCCUACGCGCAAUCUCCGAUCCUCACAAGACCUCCUUCUCUACUUUCCUCUUAUCUCCUCUUUCCACAAUCACCUCCAAGAUUUGUCCUGUGCAGCCGCUGUACUCUGGAACUCUCUAUCGCAACAUAUCAGACUCUCACCUACAGUGGAAACCUUCAAAAGAAACCUGAAAACCCACCUAUUCAGACAAGCCUACAACCAGUGACCCUGCUGCCUCCAUACCGC